rnacentral:rRNA from 1 species
GAGUUUGAUCUUGGCUCAGAACGAACGCUGGCGGCAGGCCUAACACAUGCAAGUCGAACGCUCGUAGCAAUACGGGAGUGGCGCACGGGUGAGUAACGCGUGGGCACCUGCCCGGUGGUCCGGAAUAACCGCGGGAAACUGCGGCUAAUACCGAAUACGCCCUUAGGGGGAAAGAUUUAUCGCCAUCGGAUGGGCCCGCGUCGGAUUAGCUAGUUGGUGAGGUAGCGGCUCACCAAGGCGACGAUCCGUAGCUGGUCUGAGAGGAUGAUCAGCCACACUGGGACUGAGACACGGCCCAGACUCCUACGGGAGGCAGCAGUGGGGAAUAUUGGACAAUGGGGGCAACCCUGAUCCAGCCAUGCCGCGUGAGUGAAGAAGGCCUUCGGGUUGUAAAGCUCUUUUGGUCGGGGACGGAUGAUGACGGUACCCGCAGAAUAAG